rnacentral:rRNA from 1 species
AGAGUUUGAUCAUGGCUCAGAACGAACGCUGGCGGCAUGCCUAACACAUGCAAGUCGAACGCAUGGUCCCGGUUCGCCGGGGUCGUGAGUGGCGCACGGGUGAGGAGCGCGUGGGAACCUGCCUCUCAGUGGGGGAUAACCGCGGGAAACUGCGGCUAAUACCGCAUACGUCCGGGGAGCGAUCUUCGGGGAAAGAUUUA